AGACGAAACUCUGCGUUUUGGUAUUUUGACCCCUCAACCCCAUCGUCACUUAUUGGUCAUUGCCUUUGGGACACUCACCGGUUCUAGAGUGGUUCUGACACGAGCCGCUAUGUUCAGACGAAACUCUGCGUUUUGGUAUUUUGACCCCUCAACCCCAUCGUCACUCAUUGGUCACCCACUCACCGGUUCCAGAGUGGUUCUGACACGAGCCGUUUCUCAUCGGAAUUUUCUUCCACUGAGCUCGUCCCUUUCAUCGUUUCUCGGGUUAAUCGCUCCGUACUCUAGGUUAAAGCUGGAAAGUGGAACCUUUGGAACUGGUUUCUCAAAAUCUUGAAAUGAUUCUGCAACCUUGUAAGACAAUGUGUCAUUGUUUUUUCCCUGUGACUAAAAAACUAGUGUAACUAAUAAUAUAUGAGAGUCUCUUCUUAUGUAAAAAGUUUAAUGUCUAUGUCAAGAGAGACAAAGUUUGGUCAGUUGUACUUUGAAGACAGUGAUUUGACACUGGACAAUGUAACGACAAGAGAGAUCACAUAUAUAAAUGACUUAUAAAUUGUUUAUGUA